GCCGUGAUCGUAUAGUGGUUGGUACUCUGCGUUGUGUCUGAAGCAACCCCGGAUCGAAUCCGGGUCACGGCA
rfam:Salmo salar isolate Sally breed double haploid chromosome ssa13, whole genome shotgun sequence.